rnacentral:rRNA from 1 species
AACGUAGGGCGCGAGCGUUGUCCGGAUUUAUUGGGCGUAAAGAGCUCGUAGGCGGCUCGUUGCGUCGGCUGUGAAAACUCGAGGCUCAACCUCGAGAGGUCGGUGGAAACCGUCUGGCUAGAGUCCGGAAGAGGAGAGUGGAAUUCCCGGUGUAGCGGUGAAAUGCGCAGAUAUCGGGAAGAACACCCGUGGCGAAGGCGGCUCGCUGGGACGGUACUGACGCUGAGACGCGAAAGCGUGGGGAGCGAACAGG